rnacentral:lncRNA from 1 species
GGAACUAAUCUACUAAAAUGAACUAAAAUUUAGUAAACUAUAUACAAAAAGAAAACUGCAAGAACAUUUUUAAAUUAUUACUAAACAAACUAAAUCGGUCUACUAUAUAAACAAAAACUAAAAUUAAAUAUUUAUUUUAUUGCAUUAAAAUUUUAUAGAAAAUAAUUACGUAUUUUAAAAGUACAGAUCAAAAUCUAAUAUUAAUUUACAUUUAAGUUUUAGAUAUUCUAUGGCGAGUUGUGCUAAUGGAUCCUUCUGCAGAUAUUGUAUAGAGAUUCGUGACCGAGUAGAUACAAUAAAUUGUUAAACGAAAGAGGGUACGGUUAAAGCUGUUUGGAAUCAUUUUGGCCUCAAUAGAUUCCCUCUGCCACUAAGUCUGAAUGUUUUGGAAAGACACUUCCACUCUAUUGUAUUAUUCGC